AGAAACUGGAAUAGUGAGAGAGGGAGACAAUAGACACACGGGCAUCUGGGUCUGCACAGGUCUCCUGGAUCCAACAGAUUGAGGAGGAGGGAGAAGAAGAGAUUGCAAAAGGAGAAGAGAUGAGGACUAGAAAAGAAGGGAAGAAGAGAAUAGAACAAACUUGCCCUGAAGGGAAAGAGGUAAAA
rnacentral:lncRNA from 1 species